rnacentral:rRNA from 1 species
AUUGCCUCAGUAACGGCGAGUGAAGCGGCAAGAGCUCAAAUUUGAAAGCUGGCCCCCUGCGGGGUCCGCAUUGUAAUUUGCAGAGGAUGCUUCGGAUCCGGCCCCUGUCUAAGUGCUCUGGAACGGGCCGUCGGAGAGGGUGAGAAUCCCGUCUGGGACGGGGAGUCCGGGUCCAUGUGAAGCUCCUUCAACGAGUCGAGUUGUUUGGGAAUGCAGCUCUAAAUGGGUGGUAAAUUUCAUCUAAAGCUAAAUACUGGCCGGAGACCGAUAGCGCACAAGUAGAGUGAUCGAAAGAUGAAAAGCACUUUGAAAAGAGAGUUAAAAAGCACGUGAAAUUGUUGAAAGGGAAGCGCUUGCGAUCAGACUCGCCUGCGGGGUUCAGCCGGCAUUCGUGCCGGUGUACUUCCCCGUGGGCGGGCCAGCGUCGGUUCGGGCGGCCGGUCAAAGGCCCUGGGAAUGUAGCGCCCUCCGGGGCGUCUUAUAGCCCAGGGUGCCAUGCGGCCUGCCCGGACCGAGGAACGCGCUUCGGCUCGGACGCUGGCGUAAUGGUCGUAAGCGGCCCGUCUU